GACGAACGCUGGCGGCGUGCUUAACACAUGCAAGUCGAACGGUAAGGCCCCUUCGUGGGUACACGAGUGGCGGACGGGUGAGUAACACGUGCGCAACCUUCCCUUGACUCUGGGAUAACAGUUGGAAACAGCUACUAAUACUGGAUAUUCAUCGUCUCCUUCCUGGGGGGUGGUGGUAAUCCCCGGCGGUCAGGGAUGGGCUCGAGGCCUAUCAGCUUGUUGGUGAGGUAAUGGCUCACCAAGGCUUCGACGGGUAGACGGCCUGAGAGCGGGACCGGCCACAAUGGGACUGAGAUACGGCGCAGACUCGUACGGGAGGCAGCAGUGGGGAAUAUUGCACAAUGGGCGCAAGCCUGAUGCAGAAACGCCGCGUGCGGGAUGACGGCCUUCGGGUUGUAAACCGCUGUCAGUAGGGACGAAGGGUGACUGACGGUACCUAAAGAAGAAGGACCGGCUAACUACGUG
rnacentral:rRNA from 1 species